UGGCCAUGAUGUGAAAUUAUUGAAAGCUAGAAAACUAGCUUUUUGGAUCAUAAGAAGUCUUGGUAAUGUUAUAAUCCGAUGGAUCAUCAGACUCGAUGUGGAUCAUUUUGACCACUAUGGAUAUUCAGAAAGAUCAUCAAACUCGAUAUAGAUCACUUUGCCACUAGAGGACUCAAUGUGGAUUACAUCGAUCAUUACAAGUAGAGCUAGACAGAAUCUAGAAGCAAGAUUUGCCAUAUCAAGAAGCUGAAUCACAUGUCAAACUUUAGGAGAUAAUAACUUAGUCAUAUGAUACCUAAUUGAGAUGAUCUUUUUUUUAAAAAAAUUGAAUAUCUUUUCAAGAUCCAUAACUUUUGGCUAGCCCCUAAAUAGAUAAAAUUGGGCUAAAAUUUCAUCAUUUGGGUCACAAAAUGGACUGGUCAAAUCAAAAUUUUUCUUUUCGAAAAGAACCUUAAUCAGGAGUUAUUUUUCAAUCAAUAAAGAAUUAGGUGGCAGGAUAGGAGAUAAAAUUGAUAUGAAAGUCGAGAUAUAUCUUUAAUAAAAUUUUAAUAAUUUUUCAUGAUUUUUUAUAUUCAUCAUAUAUUUUUAGAGAUCUAAUUCUGUUAAAGUUAGGAAG
rnacentral:lncRNA from 1 species